rnacentral:rRNA from 1 species
UACGUAGGGGGCAAGCGUUGUCCGGAUUCAUUGGGCGUAAAGAGCUCGUAGGCGGCUUGGCAAGUCGGGUGUGAAACCUCCAGGCUCAACCUGGAGACGCCACCCGAUGCUGCCAUGGCUAGAGUCCGGUAGGGGACCACGGAAUUCCUGGUGUAGCGGUGAAAUGCGCAGAUAUCAGGAGGAACACCGGUGGCGAAGGCGGUGGUCUGGGCCGGCACUGACGCUGAGGAGCGAAAGCGUGGGGAGCGAACAGG